CCUACGGGUGGCAGCAGUGAGGAAUAUUGGUCAAUGGGCGGAAGCCUGAACCAGCCAAGUAGCGUGCGGGAUGAAGGCCCUACGGGUCGUACACCGCUUUUGCACGGGGAUAACACCCUCCACUUGUGGAGGUCUGCAGGUACCGUGCGAAUAAGGGCCGGCUAAUUCCGUGCCAGCAGCCGCGGUAAUACGGAAGGCACGAGCGUUAUCCGGAUUCAUUGGGCUUAAAGGGAGCGUAGGCGGGCGUUGAAGUUAGCUGUCAAAUCGCGCGGGUCAACCGCGCCCCGCAGUUGAAAUUGGACGCCUUGAGGUCACAACAGGCAGGCGGAAUUCGUGGGGUAGCGGUGAAAUGCAUAGAU
rnacentral:rRNA from 1 species